rnacentral:rRNA from 1 species
CGUAACGCGUAUGCAACCUACCCUUUACUGAGGGAUAGCCCGGAGAAAUUCGGAUUAAUACUUCAUGGCACUAUAAUAUGGCAUCAUAUAAUAGUUAAAGAUUUAUUGGUAAAGGAUGGGCAUGCGUGACAUUAGCUAGUUGGUGAGGUAAUGGCUCACCAAGGCUACGAUGUCUAGGGGUUCUGAGAGGAAGAUCCCCCACACUGGUACUGAGACACGGACCAG